rnacentral:ncRNA from 1 species
AAGGUGCUUAUCAUCUUGGAUGAAAAGGGAAUCGGGUGAGAAUCCCGGACAGUCCCGCUGCUGUAACCUCCUAACCAAGGUUGCUAAAAGAUGCCACUGUCAACGACGGGAAGGCUUAGCAACUGGAGGAAGUCAGAAGACCUGCAAAACA